rnacentral:lncRNA from 1 species
CAACACCCAGCGAUGCUUGUCUGCCAGACAAAGUCUCUUCCGUCAGGAAAGGGCAAAUGGGCACCAGGAUGGGAAGGAGUCAUUUGCGAGGAUGCACCUCGGGUUGGAAUACAGAUGCAAUUAAUAAAUCCAGAUGGCACUGAAUUUACCACGGAGAGCCAAGGGCCAUCAAGAAGUGUGUCUGUAUUUAAAGAGCUGGAAGGGCACUGCAAGACGAUCGCUCCAGAGAUGUGGCCUUCCCUCGCUGCUUUCCACUGGCUUUCAAGUACCCACUUGUUCCAUGCCAUCCACAUCGAGCCCAGCCUGCGCCUCUUCCUGGCCUACUCAACUACACCCUGGGGACCCUGGCCAGACCAGGCUCUGUUCCUGCCCCCAGGAUGGUUUUGAAGCAAGGAGCUGUGUCUGCCUCUUUUUUGCAGCAAAGCUCCUUGUACAGUAACGGGUCAUGAAUAAGAAAUAGGACCCUGAUGGCAGAGCAGACAUCUCCUGCCAGCACUAACUGCAUCUGCAAACUCCAGGCAGCCCAGCUCCUGGAGAGGCAGCAAGGUCCGGCAGGAAGCACCAGAGAUGGAGGCAGAACCCACCUGAGCUCAGCAGGCAGGAAUCAAACCCCUCCCUGUGUUGGGAGCUGUGUCUGGGUUCCAGCCCUGGGUCUACUGCUAAGCCAGGAGACAGGAGUAAGUCCCUUCUCUUUUCUGUCAGUUUCCUUAUCUGUACAGUGGGUAGUGGAAUAAUCCCAAACUGGUACCUAGGAUUUACAUUUUUUAUAAAAAUCUUUCCUUCUAAUGUUUUUAUUUCACUUCUUCAGUGAAACUUAUUUACUAGGUGCCUACUCUGUGCCAGGCUCUACACUAGGCAUGGAAAAUACAGUUGCCCAAAGAGAUAUGGUAUUGGCCUUCACUGGGCUUGUAUUGCAGGGAAGAAAGACAUGCACUCAGUUCUCCCAUAAUUAAAUGCUAAGUUACAGCUGUGACAGGUUCUAAAAAGUCUACAGUGGACAGGUACUUGGGGCAAUGAGAGCCUGUAACUGGAAAAUUUGACCUUGAGGGUCCCCUGAGGAAGUGAUGCUUGAACUGACCUCAGAAGAAGUAGAGAUGCUAACUAAGCAAGGAGGGAAGAAUGCCCUGGGAAAAGGGAACGGCUUGGACAAAACACGGGUCAGGAGUAGCUCAGAGGUUGUGAGGGCUUGCAAGGAAUCUGAUCUUUCUGGGGGUACAGAGUGGAAAUGAAGCAGGAAAAUCGGAAGGGACCAGCCUUGGUGGUCCUUGUUGUCAGAGGUAAAGACGAAUUGUGUCUCCAUUCUGAGAGCAAUCGGAAACAUUUGCUGGUUUCAUCAGGCUGUGCUGAGAUCAAGUUCAAUGCUUCCAAGGUUCACUCUGGCUGCUGAGUGGAGAAUAGACUGGUGUGGGGGGAUGCUGAGGGAAAGCAGGAGCCUGAAGUCUGUUGAAGGCAACCUGGAGGAAGAUGAGGGUGGUUUAGUAAUGAUGGUGGCAGCAGAGUUGGGAAAAAGGUCCAGGUAGCCGGUUGCAUGGCGUUGGGGGGA